rnacentral:rRNA from 1 species
GACGAACCGUGCGAACGUUAUUCGGAAUCACUGGGCUUAAAGCGCGUGUAGGCGGGCCGGCACGUCGGCCGCUGAAAUCCCCCGGCUCAACCGGGGAAGCGGCGCCGAUACGACCGGCCUGGAGGGACGUAGGGGGGGCCGGAACUUCCGGUGGAGCGGUGAAAUGCGUUGAGAUCGGAAGGAACGCCCGUGGCGAAAGCGGGCCCCUGGACGUCUACUGACGCUGAGACGCGAAAGCCAGGGGAGCGAACGGG